rnacentral:tRNA from 1 species
GGGGAUAUAGCUCAGUGGUAGAGCAGCUGCGGAAACGAUGCGUGUUGAGGGUUCAAGUCCCUCUAUCUCCA